UUCUUUGGUUAUCUAGCUGUAUGAGUGAGUUUUACGUCAUAAAGCUAGGUUACCAAAGUU
rfam:Stegodyphus mimosarum contig93920, whole genome shotgun sequence.